rnacentral:rRNA from 1 species
UAAUGGUUGAGUUUGGUGAUGGCUCUGAUUGAAUGCUGUUCAAGUGCUUGACACAUGCUAAUCGUACGUUUUAAUUUCUAACAUUAAGUAACUACUAUACUAAAGGUUAUUAAUUAAAAAGUGGUGUACAGGUGAGUAUAAAGAUAUAAUUCGCCGGCCUUAAAGAGAAGGUAAAUCCUUCAUAAUAAAUAAAAGGGUACAGUUCCUGCUUUAAGAGGAUGAUAAAUAUCUUCGGGAUAGGUAGUAGUUAAGGUGAUGACUUAACUAGCCGACAACUCUCGUAGUCGAAUCUGAAAGGUUGAUCGACCACAUUGGGUCUGAAAAAACCCCAAUGCAAAUUAGUACAGCAGUGAGGAAUUUUGGUCAAUGGCCUAACGGCUGAACUGGCAACUUGGAGAAGUGGCAAGUCCUAUUUUGAUCAUAUCCUAAAAGAUGAUCUAUAGGAUUGUAUUAAAAUUGAAUAAAGCUUUGUUUAUAUAUUGAUAAUGACAGUAUAUAUAUCGUGUCUUGACUAAUUACGUGCCAGCAGUCGCGGAAAUACGUAAGAGACUAGUAUUAUUCAUCUUAAUUGGGUUUAAAGGGUACCUAGACGGUCAAUAUAGCUUAUAUAAUGUUAGUACUUGACUAGAGUUUUAUAUGAGAGGGGAGUACUUGAGGAGGAGAGAUGAAAUUCUUUGAUACCAAAGGGACUCGGUAAAGGCGAAGGCACCCCUUUAGGUAAAAACUGACGUUGAGGGACGAAGGCACAGAGAACAAACAGGAUUAGAUACCCAAGUAGUCUUUGCAGUAAAUGAUGAAUGCCAUAGAUUAGAUGAAGAUUUGGUCUAUAAAUGAAAGUGUAAGCAUUCCACCUCAAGAGUAAUGUGGCAACGCAGGAACUGAAAUCACUAGACCGUUUCUGACAACAGUAGUGCAGUAUGUACUGUUUAAUUCGAUAAUACACGAAAAACCUUACCACAAUUUGUAUAAUAAUAUUACAGGAGUUGCACGGCUGUUUUCAGUUAAUGUUGUGAAACUAUGGUUUCCAUGUAAUUAACGAAAUCCCUGGCUUUAUUUUUGGAUGCGCUAGUCCCUCCGGGACCAGCAAGCUCUUAAUUUUUACUUAUUUUAGUUAUGAGGCGCAUGAAAGCGCUCUCAGAAUAAAAAAAGAGCUUGCGCCCUAAAAAAGAUUUUUAGGGCUCGCUACUACGAUAAGGCAUUAGAUCCUGGAUAUUUGGAUAGAAAAAGGGGACAAAGACAAGUCAUCAUGGCCUUUAUAUUGUGGGCUAUAAACGUGCUACAUCUUCCUAGACAAAGAGAUGCAAAAAUGUGAAUUUAAGCUAAUCUCAAAAAAUAGGAUAAAAAUUUUAAGGAUUGUAGUCUGAAAUUCGACUACAUGAAUAAGUAAUUACUAGUAAUCGUGAAUCACCAUGUCACGGUGAAUUACUCUCGGAUUGGUACUAACCACUCGUCACAUGCUGAAAAGAGCUUAUGCAAUAAGUUUGCUUUCUUAGUAAUUAGUAAAAAAAACAUGUAGGUUUUGUGUAGAUAUGUUAUCUAUGAACAGCACCAAAGCUGUCUAUUAUUGGGAAUCUUCGUAUGCGCGGUUCUAAUUAGUGUUAAGUCGAAAUACGGUUCGUGUAGUGGAAGUUGCACGGGAUUAAUUAACAUA